GCGGCCGCGCAACAAAGGAGUCACCCGGCGAUGAGCCCCGGCACCCCCGGACCGACCAUGGGCAGAUCCCAGGGCAGCCCAAUGGAUCCAAUGGUGAUGAAGAGACCUCAGUUGUAUGGCAUGGGCAGUAACCCUCAUUCUCAGCCUCAGCAGAGCAGUCCGUACCCAGGAGGUUCCUAUGGCCCUCCAGGCCCACAGCGGUAUCCAAUUGGCAUCCAGGGUCGGACUCCCGGGGCCAUGGGCGGAAUGCAGUACCCUCAGCAGCAGGUUUGUGCUGGUCCCCCGACCCGCUGCUUUUUUGUAAUAGUUUUGUCUUUGCCUUUUGCUGUCCACCUAAGGUUGAUGUUAAAGAGAAUUAGGGGGCAUUGCACGGAUUUUCUGCUUUAAUUUUUAUUGUUUCUUUAAUCACAGGUAUAAUUUUUUUUUUCUUUUAAAGAUGGAAAGGUGAGCUUCUUAAAGUGGACAGAAUACCUGUUUGGUAGAAGGGCAGCAGGACCAGCUGUAUUUGAUAGGUGCACUGUGUCAUAAAUUUGCAGCAGGUUAUAACAGAUGUAAGCUCUGAAGUGAACUUGGCAU
rnacentral:sRNA from 1 species